UUUGUAUUACGUACAGAAAUUGUUACCAUUUUCGGCUCAAAAAUGGUAACAAUUUCCGCACGUAAUACAAA
rnacentral:miRNA from 1 species